CCUACGGGAGGCAGCAGUGAGGAAUAUUGGUCAAUGGGCGCGAGCCUGAACCAGCCAAGUAGCGUGAAGGAUGACUGCUCUACGGGUUGUAAACUUCUUUUAUAAAGGAAUAAAGUGAGGCACGUGUGCCUUCUUUUCUCUAGUUGCUGCAUAACGAUCGGCGAACUCACGGCCGGCAGCCGCGGUAAUACGGAGGAUCCGAGCGUUAUCCGGAUUUAUUGGGUCUAGAGGGAGCGUAGAUGGGGGUGGCAGUCAGGGGUGAAAGUUUGCGGCGCAACCGUAAAAUUGCAAUUGAUACUGGCAGCGUUGGUUACAGUUGAGGUAGGCGGAAUUCGUGGUGUAGCGGUGAAAUGCUUAGAUAUCACGAAGAACUCCGAUUGCGAAGGCAGCCUACUAAACUGCCACUGACAGGCAGUCUCGAGAGUGUGGGUAUCAAACAGGAUUAGAUACCCUUGUAGU
rnacentral:rRNA from 1 species